GGGUUGUGAGGUUAAGCGACUAAGCGUACACGGUGGAUGCCCUGGCAGUCAGAGGCGAUGAAGGACGUGCUAAUCUGCGAAAAGCGUCGGUAAGGUGAUAUGAACCGUUAUAGCCGGCGAUGUCCGAAUGGGGAAACCCAGUGUGAUUCGUCACACUAUCGUUAACUGAAUACAUAGGUUAACGAGGCGAACCGGGGAACUGAAACAUCUAAGUACCCCGAGGAAAAGAAAUCAACCGAGAUUCCCCCAGUAGCGGCGAGCGAACGGGGAGCAGCCCAGAGUCUGAAUCAGCUUGUGUGUUAGUGGAACGGUCUGGAAAGUCCGACGGUACAGGGUGAUAGUCCCGUACACCAAA
rnacentral:rRNA from 1 species